rnacentral:rRNA from 1 species
AGUGAACGCUGGCGGUAGGCCUAACACAUGCAAGUCGAACGGCAGCACAGUAAGAGCUUGCUCUUACGGGUGGCGAGUGGCGGACGGGUGAGGAAUACAUCGGAAUCUACUUUUUCGUGGGGGAUAACGUAGGGAAACUUACGCUAAUACCGCAUACGACCUACGGGUGAAAGCAGGGGAUCUUCGGACCUUGCGCGAUUGAAUGAGCCGAUGUCGGAUUAGCUAGUUGGCGGGGUAAAGGCCCACCAAGGCGACGAUCCGUAGCUGGUCUGAGAGGAUGAUCAGCAACACUGGAACUGAGCCACGGUCCAGACUCCUACAGGAGGCAGCAGUGGGGAAUAUUGGACAAUGGGCGCAAGCCUGAUCCAGCCAUACCGCGUGGGUGAAGAAGGCCUUCGGGUUGUAAAGCCCUUUUGUUGGGAAAGAAAAGCAGCAGGUUAAUACCCCGCUGUUCUGACGGUACCCAAAGAAUAAGCACCGGCUAACUUCGUG